UGGGGAAUAUUGCACAAUGGGCGCAAGCCUGAUGCAGCGACGCCGCGUGAGGGAUGGAGGCCUUCGGGUUGUAAACCUCUUUCGCCAGUGAAGCAGGCCAUCUUCUUUGUGGGGUGGUUGACGGUAGCUGAUAAGAAGCGCCGGCUAACUACGUGCCAGCAGCCGCGGUAAUACGUAGGGCGCGAGCGUUGUCCGGAAUUAUUGGGCGUAAAGAGCUCGUAGGCGGCUGGUCGCGUCUGUCGUGAAAUCCCCUGGCUUAACUGGGGGCUUGCGGUGGGUACGGGCCGGCUUGAGUGCGGUAGGGGAGACUGGAAUUCCUGGUGUAGCGGUGGAAUGCGCAGAUAUCAGGAGGAACACCGGUGGCGAAGGCGGGUCUCUGGGCCGUUACUGACGCUGAGGAGCGAAAGCGUGGGGAGCGAACAGG
rnacentral:rRNA from 1 species